AUUGAACGCUGGCGGCAGGCCUAACACAUGCAAGUCGAGCGAGCGGCGGACGGGUGAGUAAUGUAUGGGGACUGCCCGCUAGCGGGGGAUAACUACUGGAAACGGUGGCCAAUUCCGCCUACUGUCGGAUAACCCAUAUGGGAUUAGCUAGUAGGUAAGGUAAUGGCUUACCUAGGCUACGAACCCUAGCUGGGCUGAGCGGAUGAUCAGCCACACGUGUGAUGGGACACGGCCCAGACUCCUACGGAGGCAGCAGUGGGGAAUAUUGGACAAUGGGCGCAAGCCUGAUGCAGCCAUGCCGCGUGUAUGAAGAAGGCCCUAGGGUUGUAAAGUACUUUCAGUCGCGAGGCGUUACCGACAGAAGAAGCACCGGCUAACUCCGUGCCAGCAGCCGCGGUAAUUC
rnacentral:rRNA from 1 species